UAAGAGUAGUUGGGCAAAAUAAAGCUUCUAACUUUAUAUGAGUGGUUCAAUUCCAUUAACUCUUUA
rnacentral:tRNA from 1 species